AUUGAACGCUGGCGGCAGGCCUAACACAUGCAAGUCGAACGAGUGGCGGACGGGUGAGUAAUGUCUGGGAAACUGCCUGAUGGAGGGGGAUAACUACUGGAAACGGUAGCUAAUACCGCAUACCAUCAGAUGCGCCCAGAUGGUAUGAGCUUGUUGGUGGGGUAACGGCUCACCAAGGCUACGAUCCCGAGCUGGUCUGAGAGGAUGACCAUCCACACUGGAACUGAUACACGGCCCAGACUCGUACGGGAGGCAGCAGUGGGGAAUAUUGCACAAUGGGCGCAGGACUGAUGCAGCCAUGCCGCGUGUAUGAAGAAGGCCGUCGGGUUGUAAAGUACUUUCAACGGGGAGGCGUUACCCGCAGAAGAAGCACCUGCUAACUCCGUGCCAGCAGCCGCGGUAAUAC
rnacentral:rRNA from 1 species